CCUACGGGAGGCAGCAGUAGGGAAUCUUCCACAAUGGGCGAAAGCCUGAUGGAGCAACGCCGCGUGGGUGAAGAAGGUCUUCUGAUCGUAAAACUCUGUUUUUAGGGAAGUAAGCGCGUGUAAGUAACUGUUCACGUUUCGACGGUACCUAACCAGAAAGGCACGGCUAACUACGUGCCAGCAGCGGCGGUAAUACGUAGGUGGCAAGCGUUAUCCGGAUUUAUUGGGCGGAAAGGGAGCGUAGGCGGUCUGUUAAGUUUGAUGUGAAAGCCUUCGGCUUAACCGUAGUAGUUCAUUGAAAACUGGGAGACUAGAGAGCAGAAGAGGAGAGUGGAAGUCAAUGUGUAGCGGUGAAAUGCGUAGAUAUAUGGAAGAACACCAGUGGCGAAGGCGGCUUUCUGGUCUGUAACUGACGCUGAGGUUCGAAAGCGUGGGUAGCAAACAGGAUUAGAUACCCCUGUAGUC
rnacentral:rRNA from 1 species